rnacentral:tRNA from 1 species
ACCUGCCUGGCUCAGUCGGUAGAGCAUGUGACUCUUGAUCUUGGGAUUGUGAGUUCAAGCCCCAUGUUCGGUG